rnacentral:rRNA from 1 species
AUUGAACGCUGGCGGCAUGCCUUACACAUGCAAGUCGAACGGUAACAGGUCUUCUGCUGCUGACGAGUGGCGAACGGGGGAGUAAUACAUCGGAACGUGCCCGAUCGUGGGGGGUAACGAGGCGAAAGCUUUGCUAAUACCGCAUACGCUCUACGGAUGAAAGCGGGGGAGCUCCGCACCUCUCGCGGACUGAGCGGCCGAUGGCGGAUUAGGUAGUUGGUGGGAUAAAAGCUUACCAAGCCGACGAUCUGUAGCUGGUCUGAGAGGAUGAUCAGCCACACUGGGACUGAGACACGGCCCAGACUCCUACGGGAGGCAGCAGUGGGGAAUUUUGGACAAUGGGCGAAAGCCUGAUCCAGCCAUGCCGCGUGCAUGAUGAAGGCCUUUGGAUUGUAAAGUGCUUUUGUACGGAACGAAAAGCAUUUUUCUAAUAAAGAGGGGUCAUGACGGUACCGUAAGAAUAAGCACCGGCUAACUACGUG